AAUGUCAAAGUCAUCUUCGGUCAGCCCGCCACCGAGAGUUUCAGCCAAUUCCCUUUUCCAAGCAGGAAAUAUUUCCUAGGAAGGGAGGAGAAGUGGUAGGACAAGAGGUUUGAGAUUUAUUGCAUCUUAACAACACACUGUAGGACUACAUCUGCAUUAAGCAUUUACAUUUAAAUCUUUGUUUUUGGUUUUAGCUCUUUGUCCACACUAAAACAGAAUUCAUGGUUCUUUUCUAAAACUUUCUACAGAGUAUUUAAAUCUUGUAGUGUGUGUGAGGAAAAUCUGUGCAGUUUUUGUCAGUCAGGGAGUUUGUGUGCGUGUGUGUGUGUGUGUGUGUGUGUGUGUUUGACUAGAUCUCAUGAUCAUAAAAUUGUGAUUGUAUGUGCACUGCAGCUUGGAAAUAACAUGCACAUUACCUGUUAAAUGGACUACAUUUACACUGAACAAAAUUAAAAACGCAACACUUUUGUUUUUGCCCCAUUCAUCAUGAGCUGAACUCAAAGAUCUAAGACUUUCUCUAUGUACACAAAAGUAUUUCUCCCAAAUAUUGUUCACAAAUCUGUCAAUCUGUGUUAGUGAGCACUUCUCCUUUGCCGAGAUAAUCCAUCCACCUCACAGGUGUGGCAUAUCAAGAUGUUGAUCAGACAGCAUGGGUAUUGCACAGGUGUGCCUUAGGCUGGCCACAAUAAAAGGCCACUCGAAAAUGCAAAAACAAAAGUGUUGUUUAUAAUUGUAUGCAGUGUACAUAGAGCUUUUUGAUCGUAACGCAGCUAACAAGAGCUUUCAGAUUCAAUGUCUUUCUCAAGGUCACUUUGACGUAUUGACAGGAGGAGCUGAAGAUCAAAUCAUCCACCCUGCUCUACCUACUGAGCCACAAUAUUUAUGUCAUACUCGUUCCAGUACAGGAAAAUAUUAAAUGACAACAAUAUUGGCUGCAUUAAAACAGCAUCACAAGGAGUAUUUGUCAGCUGGGCUGUCUGUCCAACACAUCACCAGGUGUUGGCUGUGAUGCGCAAUUUUGUUGUUUGCCACCUAAAAAGGAGAUGAAGAAGAAGAGAUUUUUCCUUUUUUACUGUCUACCUGUGGGCAGAAGUUUCUAUGAAAUAUAUGACCUGUAUGGGAGUGUGAAUGUGAGUCAUUUUCACACAAAAAACUGCCAGCUCAGUGUAGAUGCAGUAAUGGAGUAAGUUUCUUUCUGUGAUUUUGCUCACACUGCUAUCACAUCCUCUAAAUUCAAAUGGUAAGUAAAUGUUAGGGAUGUGUUGUAGUCCAAGGGAAAUCCAAGCACAAUAUCCAUAUAAGCAAUGAGAAAAAGAUAGAGAAAACAGAAACAAGGAAUGUGCACACAAAAGGAGUAUAACAUCCAACUUCAUUAUAACAGAGAAAUAGAUGAUGUGACAGACAGUGUAAUGCAAUAAAGGCACACAACAACAUUAGUAGAAACCUCAGUGGGAUCCUCAAACAGCGUUUCACCCAGAAACGUGUAGAGGUAUCGAUUGAUGAUCCUGCGUAGAAUGUCUCUUGCAUCCUUCAGCUCCUCGGAUGUUGAGUUGAGUA